UACGUAGGGGGCAAGCGUUGUCCGGAAUCAUUGGGCGUAAAGCGCGUGUAGGCGGCUCGGUAAGUCUGCUGUGAAAGUCCAGGGCUCAACCCUGGGAUGCCGGUGGAUACUGUCGAGCUCGAGUCCGGAAGAGGCGAGUGGAAUUCCUGGUGUAGCGGUGAAAUGCGUAGAGAUCGGAAAGAACACCAACGGCGAAAGCACUCUGCUGGGCCGACACUGACACUGAGAGACGAAAGCUAGGGGAGCGAAUGGG
rnacentral:rRNA from 1 species